UGACACAAGGAGAAAGAAACAUUGAAAACGAGAAGAGUAAUAAAAACACAUAAACGAUAAAUAAGACGAAAACAAGACAAUAGGACACACAGAGAGAGAGAGAGAGAGAGAGAGAGAGAGAGAGCAGUGAGCGCAAGAACCAGUACGAAGAGGAACGCAGAAAGAGGAAAAGGGGGAGUGUGCGCUUGAUGCUGCUUCAGAUUUAAGGAGAAAGGAGAGAGAGAGAGAGAGAGAGAGAGAGAGGGAGCGAGAAAGAGACAGAGAGAGAGAGAGAGAAAGAGAGAGAGUGGGUGGGUGGGAAGGAGGGAGAGAGAGAAAGCAGCCGGCCAACUGAAGAAAGAUGGCUACAGUAACAGCGAACGGAGUGCAGCAAGAGAAUGGAUUCAGCACCACGAACAGCGCCGGUAGGAUGAACGGACUCGCACUCGGACAGAACACUAUUCCCAUGAAAGACCACGACGCCAUCAAGCUGUUUAUCGGGCAGAUACCGAGAAAUCUGGAGGAGAAGGACCUGAAACCCCUGUUUGAGGAAUUCGGCAAGAUAUACGAACUCACAGUGCUGAAAGACAGAUUUACAGGAAUGCAUAAAGGAUGUGCCUUUCUAACAUACUGUGCCAGAGAGUCCGCCCUGAAGGCCCAGAGUGCCCUGCAUGAACAGAAGACCCUGCCGGGGAUGAACCGGCCAAUCCAGGUGAAGCCAGCAGACAGCGAAGGGCGAGGAGAAGACAGGAAGCUGUUUGUGGGGAUGCUGGGAAAGCAGCAGAGCGAGGAAGACGUGCGGCGGCUGUUCGAGGCCUUCGGCCAAAUCGAGGAGUGCACCAUCCUGAGAGGGCCUGACGGGGCCAGUAAGGGCUGUGCCUUUGUCAAGUUCUCCAGCCACACAGAAGCACAGGCGGCCAUCAGCACGCUGCAUGGCGGCCAGACCAUGCCGAGUGGUCAGUGUAGCACUCUUCUGUCUUUCCAGGGGGCCUCUUCCAGCCUGGUGGUGAAGUUUGCGGACACGGACAAGGAGCGAACCCUGCGGAGAAUGCACCAGAUGGCCGGUCAGCUGGGCAUCUUUAGCCCCAUGACCAUCCAGUUCGGAGCCUACGGAGCCUACACCCACACUCAAAUGAUGCAACAGCAAGCGGCUCUUAUGGCCGCCGCCCAGGGUUCGUACCUCAACCCCAUGGCGGCAAUCGCAGCGGCGCAGAUGCAGCAAAUGGCAGCUUUCAAUGUCAACGGCCUGGUGGCGGCUCCCAUGACGCCCUCCUCAGGCACCAGUACACCCCCGGGUAUAAGUGCCACUGCCGUGCCUAGCAUAGCCACACCCAUCGGGGUGAAUGGAUUUAGUGCCCUCCCACCCCAGACCAAUGGGCAGCCAGCGUCCGAACCCAUCUACACCAACGGGAUUCACCCCUACCCAGCACAAAGUCCCACUGUGGCUGACCCUCUCCAGCAGGCUUAUGCUGGUGUCCAGCAUUACGCAGCAGCUUACCCCGCUGCCUAUGCGCCAAUCAGCCAAGUGUUUCCACAGCAACCAGCCAUCAUUCCCCAGCAACAGAGAGAAGGGCCCGAAGGCUGCAACCUCUUUAUUUACCACCUACCACAGGAAUUUGGAGACCCCGAGCUCAUGCAAAUGUUCCUGCCUUUCGGCAACGUCAUCUCUGCCAAAGUCUUUGUGGACCGGGCGACCAAUCAGAGCAAGUGUUUUGGAUUUGUCAGCUUUGACAACCCGUCCAGUGCCCAGGCUGCCAUCCAGGCCAUGAACGGCUUUCAGAUCGGCAUGAAGAGGCUGAAGGUUCAACUCAAGCGGCCGAAGGACGCCAACCGACCUUACUGACCCCUCUGCCGAGCUCAUCAGGUAAGAGGAGCCCCCGUGUCCCGCUGAGAAACGGGGCUCAGCUCCACUGCUCCAGUCCCAGGGGCCACAUCUGAAGCCACUCCCGUUCUUAUCUUAACUGGACGAUAGACUCAACAAUAGAGAUUACUCUGCUGGUGUAUUUGCGAUGAUAAUGGUCGUGACGUUGACAAUGACAGUGUCUUAACAUUCUGAUAAUGCAUCUGUGUCAUGUAGAAUAAUGUAUAUUUAGAUGGGAUCUAAAUAUCGUGAAAGACUGGUUGGGCAUGAACUACAUUAUCAGCAAAAGGUUAUAUUUUUAUUAAUGAAUUUAGCAUGGUAUUUUUUUUUACGAUCCAGACUGCUAUUAUGCUUUUUCUAUAUACCUGAAAGCAAAGCAUGCAAAGCCUUCUAUUUAAUGGAGUUUGGAAUAAAAGAUAGCAUGAAAUGAUGAGUAGAAAAGGUAAUUUAGCAGUCUGACACAGAACAGUAAGCACAGUGCAGAAACAUGUCAGUACUUUUGGAAUAAUAAUGUCACAAUAUUGGAAACAUUGUCAUUAUCCCAAUGGAAAGACCACUGCGGAAAAGGUGAUUUUAAAUGAAGAAAAAGACUAGGGAAAUGACUGUGAAGUACAGCCUUGCCCUCGGGAGGGACAAUUGGAAAAUGCAAGAGCGAUAUUGAGAACAGGGGAGCCAUUAUGACGCACUCAGCACAGUUCUGACAGUAGUCAUUUCAAACUUAGAAUUAAACCAUGCAGAAGAGGUCCCUGGCUGCAGUGCAUACCCAACCCCCUGGCUGUGCUCUGAGCUGGUCCAGUCUGUGCAGUGGCCUCUUUGUCUGACAGUCUCUGAGUCUAAGUGUUCAUCCCAUUCUUUCUCAAGUCCAGUCUUCUCUGUGCUUUUUAAAUGUUUUUUUUUCCACUUUCUGUUUUUGUCAUCUAGUCGUUACUUUAACAAGUGUUCGGAAACAAAUAAAAAAAUGACAUUUACGGAGUGUGAAGACGUUUUCUGCUAAGUGCAAAAUGUGAUACUUUAUGCCCUGAAACAAUGGCUACCUCUGCAGGAAAAUAUUAUCUGUAAAUAUAUUUAGUUUUUUUUCCUCAAACUUUUUUUUUUUUUUUUUAAUCUGUAUGGGAUUAUAUCUACCUUCCUCACGGAUGGUUCUGAGGUAGCUUCUCAGAGCUGUGCAACACCAUGAGUAUAUACCCUCACUGCAGGAUUGUCCAGAGGUCAGCUGAUGACCAGUACUGUUGAAAGGUCUAUUUUAACUAUUUACAGGUCUCCAUGUGUCUUCCCUUUGCACUCUCCUCUUAUGUGGGAUGAGUGAAAUGAAGCAAGCACAGUCGGUCUGAUUUCUGCAGAACAAAAACUAUCAAAAGAAUAUAAAAAACACAUUAUAAUUUGCAUAGCCAUUGCAAGCAUUGGAGCAGCCUUUAUGAGCUCUUGAAACUAAUGAUAAUUACCAUAUUGCUGGAAUCUGAAAAUGACUGGAUGUCCCCGUCCUAGUCCAGAACAAGAUGGAUGUAUCCCAGUGCAAGAGAAAUGCUAAAUGCUAACAGGUAGCGAAUGUGUAGGGAGUUCAUGUGGUUACUUUUGUCCAGAUGUUGGUGAAAGAGAGACCUGAAAAUAGUCAGUGGUUUUAACCAUGCAUCUGUUAACACAUUCAAAAAAGGGAGAUUGCUGGCAGCUUAUUUCCAGUUUGGUUUCCUUUCCCUAUUCAUAAAUUCAUAAAAUACCAGCUUCAGUUCAGUUUGCCAGCUAUAGGAGGGGAGAGGCUGGGACAAACGGGGAGCGGGUCGGCUAUAUUUCCAACACAAGGAAAAGAAGUUCCACCACAUCUUUUCUUCUUUUGUACCCAACCAACCUGCUAACCAGGCAGGGCCAAUCAUAGCUCGAGAUGGCCUUCCUGUUGUCUAGCCACCAGUCAUGGGGGACAAACUCCCAGACCUGAUGAAGGGCCACAAAAUCUUAUUUCCACAAGUGCAGUAUAAAGUGCAAAGACGUCUUGCUCUGCUACAUAUCAUGAGAGAAGGAUGGUCCUUUGAUAAGUCAGAAGAAAAACCGAAAGAUCUGGCGAGAGGAACCAGCAGUUUUUUUUUUUUCAAAAACAAUUUUUCCUUUUUGCCCCAUCUUCUUUUUUCUUCUCCUUUGCCAUUAAUGGAAGAGAAUUUUGCCAAUAUCAACUUUUUUGCUGCUGUUAGGAAGAUGGGCUGCAUUUACAGACAUUAUGCUGAAAGCAUGCAUGCCAACAUGUAUAUGAAAGAACAGGCACACACACACACACACACACACAAAUAUGCACGCACGCACACA